rnacentral:misc_RNA from 1 species
GAAAUGCGAUAAUUAAUGUGAAUUGCAGAAUUCAGUGAAUCAUCGAGUCUUUGAACGCACAUUGCGCCCCCUGGUAUUCCGGGGGGCAUGCCUGUCCGAGCGUCAUUGCUGCCCUCAAGCACGGCUUGUGUGUUGGGCUUCCGUCCCUGGCAACGGGGACGGGCCCAAAAGGCAGUGGCGGCACCAUGUCUGGUCCUCGAGCGUAUGGGGCUUUGUCACCCGCUCCCGCAGGUCCAGCUGGCAGCUAGCCUCGCAACCAAUCUUUUUAACCAGGUUGACCUCGGAUCAGGUAGGGAUACCCGCUGAACUUAAGC